UGGGGAAUAUUGGACAAUGGGCGAAAGCCUGAUCCAGCAAUGCCGCGUGUGUGAAGAAGGUCUUCGGAUUGUAAAGCACUUUCGACGGGGACGGAUGAUGACGGUACCCGUAGAAGAAGCCCCGGCUAACUACGUGCCAG
rnacentral:rRNA from 1 species